rnacentral:lncRNA from 1 species
UGUAGUUGUAAGCGAAGGUGUAGUUUGUAGGUGUAGUUGUAGGUGUAGAUGUAGUUGUAGGUGUAGUUGUAUGUUUAGGUGUAGGCGUAGUUGUAGGUGUAGUUGUAGAUGUACGUGUAGGUGUAGUUGUAAGCGAAGGUGUAGGUGCAUUUGUAGGUGUAUGUGUAUAUGUAGAUGUAAGUGAAGGUGUAGUUGUAGGUGUAGUUGUUGGUGUUGGUGUGGGUGUAGGUGUAGUUGUAGGUGUAGUAGUAGGCGUAGUUGUAGAUGUAGUUGUAGGUGUCGGUGUAGUUGUAGGUGUAGUUGUAGGCACAGUUGUAGUUGUAGUUGUAGUCGUAGGCAUAGGUUUUGGUGUAGGUUUAGGUGUAGUUGUAGGUGUAGUUGUAUGUUUAGGUGUAGGCGUAGUUGUAGGUGUAGUUGUACGUGUAGGUGUAGUUGUAAGCGAAGGUGUAGGUGUAGUUGUAGGUGUAGAUGUAGUUGUAGGUGUAGUUGUAUGUUUAGGUGUAGGCGUAGUUGUGGGUGUAGUUGUAGUUGUACGUGUAGGUAUAGUUGUAAGCGAAGGUGCAGUUGUAGGUGUAGGCGUAGAUGUAGUUGUAGUUGUAGGUGUAGGUGUAGAUGUAGUUGUAGGUGUAGUUGUAUGUUUAGGUGUAGGCGUAGUUGUAG